rnacentral:rRNA from 1 species
UUGACGGGGCCCGCACAAGCGGAGGAACAUGUGGUUUAAUUCGAUGAUACGCGAGGAACCUUACCUGGGCUUAAAUGGGGAGUGACAGCUGGCGAAAGUUGGUUUUCUUCGGACACUCUUCAAGGUGCUGCAUGGUUGUCGUCAGCUCGUGCCGUGAGGUGUCGGGUUAAGUCCCAUAACGAGCGCAACCCUUACUGUUAGUUGCCAGCGGGUCAAGCCGGGAACUCUAACGGGACUGCCACCGUAAGGUGAGAGGAAGGUGGGGAUGACGUCAAAUCAGCACGGCCCUUAUGUCCAGGGCUACACACGUGUUACAAUGGUCGGUACAAAGGGCAGCUACACCGCGAGGUGAUGCUAAUCUCUAAAGCCGGUCUCAGUUCGGAUCGAAGUCUGCAACCCGACUUCGUGAAGUUGGAUUCGCUAGUAAUCGCGCAUCAGCCAUGGCGCGGUGAAUACGUUCCCGGGCCUU